AUUGAACGCUGGCGGCAGGCCUAAUACAUGCAAGUCGGACGGUAACAUAAGAAAAGCUUGCUUUCUUGAUGACGAGUGGCGGACGGGUGAGUAAGAUUUGGGAAGCUACCUGAUAGAGGGGGACAACAGUUGGAAACGACUGCUAAUACCGCAUACAGCCUCAGGGUGAAAGAAGCGAUUCGCUAUCAGAUGUGCCCAAACGGGAUUAGCUAGUAGGUGAGGUAAAGGCUCACCUAGGCGACGAUCUCUAGCUGGUCUGAGAGGAUGAUCAGCCACAUUGGGACUGAGACACGGCCCAGACUCCUACGGGAGGCAGCAGUAGGGAAUAUUGCACAAUGGAGGAAACUCUGAUGCAGCCAUGCCGCGUGUGUGAAGAAGGCCUUCGGGUUGUAAAGCACUUUCGGAGGGGAGGAAAAAAUGACGUUACCCUCAGAAGAAGCACCGGCUAACUCCGUG
rnacentral:rRNA from 1 species